rnacentral:rRNA from 1 species
AUUGAACGCUGGCGGAAUGCUUUACACAUGCAAGUCGAACGGCAGCACGGACUUCGGUCUGGUGGCGAGUGGCGAACGGGUGAGUAAUGUAUCGGAACGUGCCCAGUCGUGGGGGAUAACGUAGUGAAAAUUACGCUAAUACCGCAUACGAUCUAUGGAUGAAAGCGGGGGAUCGCAAGACCUCGCGCGAUUGGAGCGGCCGAUAUCAGAUUAGGUAGUUGGUGGGGUAAAGGCCCACCAAGCCAACGAUCUGUAGCUGGUCUGAGAGGACGACCAGCCACACUGGAACUGAGACCCGGUCCAGGCUCCUACGGGAGGCAGCAGUGGGGAAUUUUAGACAAUGGGCGAAAGCCUGAUCCAGCCAUUCCGCGUGCAGGAUGAAGGCCCUCGGGUUGUAAACUGCUUUUGUACAGAACGAAAAGGUUUCUACUAAUACUAGGAGCUCAUGACGGUACUGUAAGAAUAAGCACCGGCUAACUACGUGCCAGCAGCCGCCGUAA